GGGAUAACCCUCCGAAAGGUGGGCUAAUACCGAGAAUAACGGCGCCGGGCGGCAUCGCCUGGCGCUCAAAGACGCAAGUCGCUGGGGGAGCGGUCCAUGGCCUAUCAGCUAGUUGGCGGGGUAACGGCCCACCAAGGCGAUGACGGGUAGCCGGACUGAGAGGUUGAACGGCCACACGGGAACUGAGACACGGUCCCGACACCUACGGGUGGCAGCAGUAGGGAAUCUUGCGCAAUGGGCGACAGCCUGACGCAGCGACGCCGCGUGGGGGAUGAAGGCCUUCGGGUUGUAAACCCCUUUCAUGAGGGAAGAACACUGACCUAACCUCAGGAAGAAGCACCGGCUAACUCCGUGCCAGCAGCUGCGGUAAUACGGAGAGUGCAAACGUUGUUCGGAUUCACUGGGCGUAAAGGGCACGUAGGCGGCCCGGCAAAUCAGUCGUGGAAUCCCGUCGCUUACCGGCGGAACGGCGGCUGAAAAUACCGGGCUAGAGGGUGUGAGGGGUCGCUGGAACUCCUGGUGAAGCGGUGAAAUGCGUAGAUAUCAGGAGGAACGCCGGAGGCGAAAGCGAGCGACUGGUGCAUUCCUGACGCUGAGGUGCGAAAGCUAGGGGAGCAAACAGGAUUAGAUACCCUGGUAGUCCUAGCCGUAAACGAUGGACACUGAGUGGGGGAGGGCUUGCCCAUCCCUGCUGCAGCUAACGCGUUAAGUGUCCCGCCUGGGGAGUACGGCCGCAAGGUUAAAACUCAAAGGAAUUGACGGGGGCUCGCACAAGCGGUGGAGCAUGUGGUUCAAUUCGAUGCAACGCGAAGAACCUUACCCGGGCUUGAAGUGAGGGUGGUAGAAACCGGAAACGGUGACGACCCCGAAAGGGGAGCCUUCAUCAGGUGUUGCAUGGCUGUCGUCAGCUCGUGUCGUGAGAUGUUGGGUUAAGUCCCGUAACGAGCGAAACCCUUGCGAUUAGUUGCUACCCCGAAAGGGGGCACUCUAGUCGGACUGCCCGUGUCGAAUGGGAGGAAGGUGGGGAUGACGUCAAGUCAUCAUGGCCCUUAUGUCCGGGGCUACACACGUGCUACAAUGGCGGGUACAAAGGGUUGCCAACUCGCGAGAGGG
rnacentral:rRNA from 1 species